AAGCUGACAUAAUCUUGCUUUUUUUUUCACUUUUUUAUAUCUGUUAUCUCUCUCUCUCUCUCUUCCCUCACCUUGCUGCACUUGCCCUCGCUUGCCUAGAGGCCCCUUGUUCGGCUGCUUCGCACACCGUUUUUCAUUCCCAACAAUGAAAGGAGCUUUUCAGCAAGGCUGGUUCCAAUUCAUCUGUGAUAAAUGAGACGAUAAGGCAAUCAGAGCACACCGUGACACUCGGUGCAGUUAGUUAGGCACACUUCGAGCCCAUUCAGGUGUGCCGGUGCGUCCUGCCGUCGGGGGGGCCUGUUAUAUAUAUAUGUGCCCAAGUCCCGAUGGUGCAUGGCUACUGCUCCUGCAGGAGUGCCGGCAGCCUUCCUCAGCUAAACUUCUGGCUCUGAGUAGAUCAGUUAGACAUGCAGCAACCAGAAGCUUCUAUAAAUGCCAUGUGUUAGGUGAAAGAACUUUGGUACAUCUUCUAAAACUGUGCCAUAGAUUGAUGGAUGGAUAAUUGCAUUCUUGAAGAAGUGGACUUGGAAGGACCCCUGGUUUCUGGCCAUGAUUUUCUCCCAGGAGCCUCUCUGGCAAAGACGGAAGAUAUACAUCUGACACAGAUUACAUCCUGCCAGACUUUUCACAAUCCAUUAGGCUCUGGAGGAACAUCAGAGAGGAAUGGAGAUGGGCUGGAAUUCUAUCUGGACGCAGAUGUCUGCUUCUCAAAGCGAAGGGUUUCUGGUGAACCGACUGCAGUGCAUGAGAGAUUAACCACGGCUGGAGAGGAUGAGAAAAGGAUUAUCAACCACUCGACACAACUCCAAUGGAGAAGGAUAAAAUAAGGUUAACAAAGACUCUCCGCUUCCCGCUGCAGUGGUCAUCAAGUUCACAGUAACAGCAUCAGUGUUAAUUUAACACCUACAGUGUCUACCAGCCUUACACUGAGUGCUUUCUGAGGGUUUUUCCACUAACAUCUGGCAACACGCACAGCCUGAGUGACAAAAUCCUUUGCGCCUGAGAGUCAACAAGGGCGGAGCUUAAGUUAAAUCUGAUCAACCAUUUGCACACCUGGGCAUAUUGCUACAUCACUAAAACAUUUUUGGAAGGAGUCUCCAGUGUCAGAGGUAAAGCUGUAACUUAAAGUUUUCAGAUACAUAAGUCUGCAUUUAUUGUCUUAUUAACUUCAAGAGAGAUGAAAGAGAGAGGCUGGUGAAGGAAUGGUUGCUUUAUAGCUGCUAUAAUGUGAUAAC